CAUCCCCUGCGGUGUGCGACUGCGGCCUGGGUAUAUUCUUGAGCCUAAUCGAUGCCCCGGGGACAUGAUGAAAAGGCCGUUGUGCAGACCCGUCUUACCGCGGGAAGCCUGAAGCCGAAUCGGUUGUCCCCACUUGAACCUCAGGUUCAAGAACGAUGGUCCGCGACGCCACAGGCGGGGGAUGU
rnacentral:other from 1 species